UGGCACGAAACCCCCCGGAAACUGGGGACUAAUUUACGAUAGGUGAAGACUUCCUGGAAUGGAUUUUACGACUUAAGAGGGACGACCUAGGGACAUGGCUACACUAGGACGUUGCCCAAGGAUGGGGGCCGCGGCCGAUCAGGUUGUUGGUGAGGUAAUGGCCCACCACAAGACCUUUAGAACCGGUACGGGACCGUGGGAGACGGUAUGCCCGGAGAUGGGCACUGAGACAAGGGCCCAGGGCCCUACGGGGACGACAGCAGUCGACGAAAACUUACGACAAUAAGCGAAAGACUUGACGGGGCCAUACCCGAGUGCCAUCUGCUGAGGAUGGCUUUUGACCCAGUAUAGGAUCAGACUGGGGGAAUAAGGAGAGGGCAAGUCUGGUGUCGGCCGCCGCGGUAAUACCAGCUCUCCGAGUUGUAGGGAUGUUUAUUGGGCCUAAAGCAUCCGUAGCCGGCUGGACAAGUCCUCUGUUAAAUCCAGCGACCAAUCGUUGGUCUGCGGGGGAUACUGUCUCGGCUAGGGGGCGGGAGAGGCCGUCGGUAUUCUUGGGGUAGGGGUGAAAUCCUAUAAUCCCAGGAGGACCACCAGUGGCGAAGGCUGUCGGCUAGAACGCGCCCGACGGUGAGGGAUGAAAGCUGGGGGAGCGAACCGGAUUAGAUACCCGGGUAGUCCCAGCUGUAAACGAUGCAGGCUAGGUGUUAGGGCGGCUACGUGCCGCUCUAGUGCCGCAGGGAAGCUGUUAAGCCUGCCGCCUGGGGAUUCGGCCCCAGGGCUUUUCUUNUGAUUGCCGGGANCC
rnacentral:rRNA from 1 species